UCGGAGUGAGGUAGUAGGUUGUAUAGUUUAGAACUACACCAAACGGGCGAACUAUACAGCUUGCUAACUUUCUUCGA
rnacentral:pre_miRNA from 1 species